GCCUGGCUGGCUCAGCUGGAGAGCAUGUGACUCUGGAUCUCAGGGUUGUGGGUUUGAGCCCCACACUGGGUG
rnacentral:tRNA from 1 species